GACGAACCGUCCAAACGUUAUUCGGAAUCACUGGGCUUACAGAGUUCGUAGGCGGUCUGGAAAGUUGGGUGUGAAAUCCCUCGGCCUAACCGAGGAACUGCGCUUGAAACUACCAGACUCGAGGGGGAUAAAGGAAAGCGGAACUGAUGGUGGAGCGGUGAAAUGCGUUGAUAUCAUCAGGAACACCGGUGGCGAAGGCGGCUUUCUGGGUCUUACCUGACGCUGAGGAACGAAAGCCAGGGGAGCGAACGGG
rnacentral:rRNA from 1 species